UUACCCUACGGGAGGCAGCAGUAGGGAAUUUUCGUCAAUGGGCGCAAGCCUGAACGAGCGAUGCCGCGUGAGUGGAGAAGGCCUCCGGGUCGUAAAGCUCUGUUGCGGGGGAAAAAAGGCAGCAUCAGGAAAUGGGUGCUGACUGAUGGUGCCCCGCCAGAAAGUCACGGCUAACUACGUGCCAGCAGCCGCGGUAAUACGUAGGUGGCGAGCGUUAUCCGGAAUGAUUGGGCGUAAAGGGUGCGCAGGCGGUCCUGCAAGUCUGAAGUGAAACGCAUGAGCUCAACUGGUGCAUGGCCUUAGAG
rnacentral:rRNA from 1 species